ACCACAAGACAUUGCACUUUUUCUUCUCUUUCACUUGAUUUGUAAACAUGCAAAUGAUUGUUUAAAAGCUUUAAAAACAGUUUUGUGGAAACAGAACAGUUCUUUGCCUGGAGUAUAUCACACAGUACUUUAAAUGCUUCUGUAACUUGGAGUUGAGCUGAACGUCUGCUUAGAUAAACAACAGGAAGUUAGACCCUAUAGCACAUGUGUGAAAUCCCCCUCAUUGCUUUUCAUGAGCGUCGGGAAAAGGAUUAUGAGAAGCCCUGCGUAUUUCUGAGAAGACCAAAGGGAGAGAGAGAGAGAUGUUAUUUCGUGAUGUCAUCUUUGCUGCUGUUAUCUUUACUCUUUGUUCCUCAGGCUACGGUCUCACUCGAAACUGGGUGAAGCAGUGGCCAGGCAAGGUGUACACUACACCUGGAGAAAACAUCACCAUACAUUGUCAGAUUCAUGCAGAGGAGACAGUCUCCGCUUGUCUUGUACAGUACGUCAUGGACAGAGACGGGACAUAUCCCAAACUCAAUGAACUUUUCCAGUUUAGUGGUAGACAUGAAAUCAAAAACAAAAGCCUCUGGAGCUCAAGUCUCAUCCUGAACUCUCUGAAUAUGAACGACACAGGAAUGUUCUACUGUACUUACUUCUGCAAAAUGAAUGGCACGUUUCGACAGCACUAUGGAAGCGGGACACACCUUUUUGUGCUUUUUGGGAUUGAUAAGGAAAACGUUACUCUACAUUAUCCACUUCUAUCCACUGUUACAGACGGAGUAAAGGACCAGUCAAGAUUUUACAUGCUCAACUCAUUUCUUGUUUUAGUUGUCUUAUCAUCCAAAUUAGCUGUAUUUAUAUUUGUAACUUCUGUUGCACAUUUUUCUUAAUAUUGAACCAGAUCUCUUUCACGUAAAACAAGAUUCUUUUUUUUAGGCUAUAACAAUAUAUAUUCACAUCCUACUCAUUAACAGUAUUAUUGCUUUUUUCUUCUUUGGUGGAAUUAGUUGUGUGGGUUGAUUGUUUGAUUAUUUUCUCACAUGGUGUUGCAUGGGUCGUUCAAACGUCUCUCAAUUCAUUUCACCAUUUUCUUCCACCAAGAUGUACCAGCACGACCUACACGAAGGAUUCUUUUUCCGACUUGGAGGUUACUUGAGUGUGCACCACCUCCGAUUGUGAUUCAUUUUCAGAUUCUAAUUAUCCGAUUUUGAAACCCACAUGGUCUUAUGUGGAAAAUUUUGAUUUUUUUAAUUGUCUUCAGAUGGUGCCAAAACUAUUGGUAGUAACGUAAUAAAAGAAAAACGUUAAAUAAACAACUAUUUAUUUACCAUAUGACCAAAACCUCACAUUUAUAAAGUACAUGAGUCAAAGAUAGAUUUGAAGCUGUGGGUGUAACCUGGGUGAGUACGUUUAGAUAUUACAGUUUCCACCCCUUCUGUUGUUUGACUCAAUAAAUGCAAGGUUUGUACAGACUGCAAUUACAAAUCUUUUGGCUUUGUCUUGUGUUGAAGUAAACAUUCGCCUGCUGUUUAAUGAAUACAUACUCUGACUCAUGCAGAAUGUGCUGAAACCUGAUGAUGCAUGUUUGUGUGUUUAGAAUUGUAUUAGUAUGUGUUCAGAGUUCAUGCAGCUGUCAUGAUGUCGAAGCCUUUUACAAACAUAAUACAUAUAGUUUUAGAAUAACAAGUGGAGUUAAACAUAUUUACAUUUGGCAGAUGACUUGCAUUGCAUCAUACAUUUUUUGUUUCUGACUAUGUGCAAUCCCCUGGGAUUGAACCCAUGACCUUGGCGUUGCUAGUGCCAUGCUCGAACCACCGAAACAUACUAUUUUAUGUGAUAUUUGUAAAACGCUGAUCAUCCUAAAACGCUGAUCACCCCCUGUGCACUGUUCUGUGUAACCAGUAAUGAUCUAUAGAGACCAAUCAUUAUAGUUUCCAUUAAAACCAGUGCAAUACCCAUUAUAACCAUU